CUCAAUAAAGCAAACACGGGGGAUAUACACCGUUUCGUCUUCGGAUGGCGACUAGGCGACUUGGCGCAGCCCUAAAUCUGCGCAUUCAUAAUCUUAUCCUACGCAUCUCUCCUCUCUCCCUCUUUCUUCGUCUGCAAAUUCCCGAGAAAAAUGGGGGCUUCGCUUCCACCCAAGGAGGCUAAUCUCUUCAAGCUCAUUGUUAUGCUAUAUAAUGCUGUAUGAUACUCCUUCAAAAUCGGCAACUGAAGAAGAUGAUGAAAUGUCAAAGUUGCUUCCUUCUCAGAAAAAGAAGAUGAGACAAAAGCAGAGAAAAGCAGAAGCCCAUGCAAAGAAAGAGGCUGAAGAGAAGAAUGAAGAGGAAUCAAUUGCAGCUGGUGUCUCUUAAGACUGGUAAGCGGCAACAUGCCAAACCAGUAGAAACAUGCCAAACCAGUAGAUCCUGAUCCCAGUGGGGAGAAGUUGUUGCAGGUUGAAGAUCCAUUAUCAGAAGCUACAAAAUACUUGCAGCUACUUCAGAAGCAUUCGUUGGAGUCCUUGGAGACACACCUACUUUCUUUUGAAGUGAACAUGAGGAAGCAGAAGAUUUUGCUUGCUUUUCAGGACUUGGAACUACACUUUUUUUCCCCCAGGCUGUAAAGCGGCUUCUUAGGUUGGAUGCAGAUAACCCAGCUUCACAUCGAUGCUUGAUAAGUUUCUUCCAUCAAGUGGGAUCCAUGGCAGCUCCUGCAUCUGAUUCAGAAAAACUUAUUUGGAGUGUUUUAGUAUCAGAGCGUCCAGAUUUGAGUCUUAUAUGGGAAAUCUCUGAUUGAAGCAAAUAGCCAUUUCUUAGAGAAACACAAAGAUUCAUUGAAGCAUAGAGCAGCAUCAGCAGAAAUGCUUUAUGUCUUGGAACCUGAAAAAAAUUCAGAGGCUGUCAAAAUUAUUGAAGAUUCAACCAACAAUCUCAUGUUGAUAAAUGGAGCAUUGCGACCUGUCAAGGAAUGGAAGCUCAGAAACUGUAUUUCAGUUCACAAACUACUUGGAAUGGUCUUGGUUGACCCUGAUGCUGCAUCCAGGUGGAAAGCACAGUGUGCUGAGUACUUCCCUUUCUCAACAUACUUUGAAGGCCCUUGUAGCUCAGCCAUCGCAAAGUCUGCUGAGGAAAAGAUAUCUAAGGCACCUCAAAAUGGGGGCCCAGACCAUGAGGUAGUUUUGCAGAGUGGUCGACCUCAUUCCUCAAAUGGAAAAGUAGAGGUUUUCAAGGACCUUACCAUUUGAACUGAGUCUUCUGCUAACCCAUCUGCAAGAGUCAUAAGAUACUAAAAAGGUAUACCAAGAGAGAAUUCCAAGAUUUGGAACCAUGCCAGGCUCGGGGACCAAAAAAAAGUGAACCUGAGUACUCUGGAAAGAGAGGAGGCAGCUCAAGCCCUAAGAUUUUUCCAUGACGUGUUUUUGAGGAAAUUUGCAGUGAGCAAAUUGAUUUUGCAUUGAGACUGGGUUUCUUUUUUGUUUCUCUGCAUGGCCUUUCUUCUUCUCAAAAAAGAAAAAGUUUGUGACAUUGCAGGAUGGAUUCUGCUAGAAAUGUGUAUAUUUAGUUCAUUGUGUUGUGAGAGCCCUAUUUUCGCUUCCAUUCGAUCAACAAAAUGGAAGGUGGUGAGUUUGAGGGGUUAUUGCUAGCAGCAUUUCAAGGCCAUAAUGUUUUGGGGCCAAGGAAGUUUUUUCUUUGGGUCCUUUAGGUUAGGGCACAACAUGGCAGUCAUAACCUUGACGAGCUGAUCACCAGUGAUUCCAUUCAGCUCUCUUUUAAUUCUUGGCCAUUAUUUAUUCAUCUUAAAUGUAUACACUAUGAAACAUUGAAAAUUUUGGCAGUCACAUUGUAUCCA